GCCGUCCCUGCCUUGUGCUUGAUCUAACCAUGUGCUGCCCCAAACAACAUGGUUUGUUCAUGCACCAGGUAGAGGCAUG
ensembl:miRNA pma-mir-218a-1 pma-mir-218a-1